rnacentral:rRNA from 15 species
AAAUUGAAGAGUUUGAUCAUGGCUCAGAUUGAACGCUGGCGGCAGGCCUAACACAUGCAAGUCGAACGGUAACAGGAAGCAGCUUGCUGCUUUGCUGACGAGUGGCGGACGGGUGAGUAAUGUCUGGGAAACUGCCUGAUGGAGGGGGAUAACUACUGGAAACGGUGGCUAAUACCGCAUAACGUCGCAAGACCAAAGAGGGGGACCUUCGGGCCUCUUGCCAUCAGAUGUGCCCAGAUGGGAUUAGCUUGUUGGUGAGGUAACGGCUCACCAAGGCGACGAUCCCUAGCUGGUCUGAGAGGAUGACCAGCCACACUGGAACUGAGACACGGCCCAGACUCCUACGGGAGGCAGCAGUGGGGAAUAUUGCACAAUGGGCGCAAGCCUGAUGCAGCCAUGCCGCGUGUAUGAAGAAGGCCUUCGGGUUGUAAAGUACUUUCAGCGGGGAGGAAGGUGUUGUGGUUAAUAACCGCAGCAAUUGACGUUACCCGCAGAAGAAGCACCGGCUAACUCCGUGCCAGCAGCCGCGGUAAUACGGAGGGUGCAAGCGUUAAUCGGAAUUACUGGGCGUAAAGCGCACGCAGGCGGUCUGUCAAGUCGGAUGUGAAAUCCCCGGGCUCAACCUGGGAACUGCAUUCGAAACUGGCAGGCUUGAGUCUUGUAGAGGGGGGUAGAAUUCCAGGUGUAGCGGUGAAAUGCGUAGAGAUCUGGAGGAAUACCGGUGGCGAAGGCGGCCCCCUGGACAAAGACUGACGCUCAGGUGCGAAAGCGUGGGGAGCAAACAGGAUUAGAUACCCUGGUAGUCCACGCCGUAAACGAUGUCUACUUGGAGGUUGUGCCCUUGAGGCGUGGCUUCCGGAGCUAACGCGUUAAGUAGACCGCCUGGGGAGUACGGCCGCAAGGUUAAAACUCAAAUGAAUUGACGGGGGCCCGCACAAGCGGUGGAGCAUGUGGUUUAAUUCGAUGCAACGCGAAGAACCUUACCUGGUCUUGACAUCCACAGAAGAAUCCAGAGAUGGAUUUGUGCCUUCGGGAACUGUGAGACAGGUGCUGCAUGGCUGUCGUCAGCUCGUGUUGUGAAAUGUUGGGUUAAGUCCCGCAACGAGCGCAACCCUUAUCCUUUGUUGCCAGCGGUUAGGCCGGGAACUCAAAGGAGACUGCCAGUGAUAAACUGGAGGAAGGUGGGGAUGACGUCAAGUCAUCAUGGCCCUUACGACCAGGGCUACACACGUGCUACAAUGGCGCAUACAAAGAGAAGCGACCUCGCGAGAGCAAGCGGACCUCAUAAAGUGCGUCGUAGUCCGGAUUGGAGUCUGCAACUCGACUCCAUGAAGUCGGAAUCGCUAGUAAUCGUGGAUCAGAAUGCCACGGUGAAUACGUUCCCGGGCCUUGUACACACCGCCCGUCACACCAUGGGAGUGGGUUGCAAAAGAAGUAGGUAGCUUAACCUUCGGGAGGGCGCUUACCACUUUGUGAUUCAUGACUGGGGUGAAGUCGUAACAAGGUAACCGUAGGGGAACCUGCGGUUGGAUCACCUCCUUA